AGCAAACAGGAUUAGAUACCCUGGUAGUUCACGCCGUAACGGUUGAUUACUCGUUGUUGGCAAUACACCGUCAGCGACUGAGCAAAAGCAUUAAGUAAUCCACCUGGGGAGUACGUCACCAAUGAUGAAACUCAAAGGAAUUGACGGGGGCCCGCACAAGCGGAGGAACAUGUGGUUUAAUUCGAUGAUACGCGAGGAACCUUACCUGGGCUUAAAUGUUUAGUGAUCGACCGGGAGACCGGUUUGUCCUUCGGGACACUGUACAAGGUGCUGCAUGGUUGUCGUCAGCUCGUGCCGUGAGGUGUCGGGUUAAGUCCCAUAACGAGCGCAACCCCUAUCGCCAGUUGCCAGCACAUAAUGGUGGGAACUCUGGUGAAACUGCCGGUGCAAACCGUGAGGAAGGUGGGGAUGACGUCAAAUCAGCACGCGCCUUAUGUCCAGGGCUACACACGUGUUACAAUGGUCGGUACAACAGGAUGCCAAUCCGCAAGGAUGAGCUAAUCCCAAAAGCCGAUCUUAGUUCGGAUCGGAGUCUGCAAUUCGACUCCGUGAAGUUGAUUCGCUAGUAAUCGCAGAUCAGCAUGCUGCGGUGAUACGUUCCGGCGAUUGUACACACCGCCCGUCAGCCAUGUAGCCGGGGUGCCUGAGUCCGUNACCGUAAGAGCGGCCCAGGUAA
rnacentral:rRNA from 1 species